GGAAGAGGAUCGGAAAUAACUCACCAGCAACGCAAUAAAAAGACAUUUUAUAAUAGACUCAAACAUUUUAUCCUCGUUUCGUACACAAGCCGCCAGAAUAAAACCAACAAAGACAAGUAUAAUUAAAAGAGUAUUAGUCAAACACACGGAAGAGAUCAUGAGGUACAGACAUACGCAUUUAAAAGAAGAAAGAAAUUAUAAAUGAAAAGUAAAUAUUUUUAAGGAAAAGUGUUUGUGUUUAAGAUAUAAAAAAGUGAUGAUGUGAUGAAGAGAAAUUAAUAUAAAUAUAAAGGGUGAAGAUACUAUACGAAGAUAAUGAACAAAAAAAAAAAUGCGUGUUUAAAAAGAAAUUAUAAAAAAAGAACAAAUAGCUUUAAGGAAAGUAUGAACACUAAAUACCAAUGAAGAAAUACGAAACAGGAAAAGAUGAAGAGGGAAAAAAUAACAAAGCAAGAAGUAGAAAGGAAAAGAAAAACAACACUACUAAUAAACAAAUAAAAAAAAGAACUAAUACUUGUUUAAAAAGAAAAAGAAAGGAGAGAAAAGCUCAUCCAUUCCCCAGGUGAGUCCCAGUACCAGGUUUCCUACUGCUCGCUUCCAUGUUCGUCUGCCCCUUGAGGAAAUGCGAGGCGACACCUUCAGGAUUUACUGGAAAGCCCCACGGAAGUCAGGUGGGACGAAAAAUAACUCUUCGUAUACAAGUGUUUCCGUGCAUUUCGAUAGGAGAAGUAGGUUAUGUUGUUCUUUCUCUUU